rnacentral:lncRNA from 1 species
CCUGGGGACACCUGGGGACAUUUGGGGCCAUUUGGGGCCAUUUUGGGGACAUUUGGGGACAUCUGGGGACAUUUGGGGCCAUUUUGGGGCCAUUUGGGGACAUUUUGGGGCCAUUUGGGGACAUUUUGGGGACAUUUGGAGUCAUUUUGGGACAUUUGGAGUCAUUUUGGGCCAUUUUGGGACAUUUGGGGACAUUUGGGGCCAUUUUGGGGCCAUUUGGGGACACCUGGGGACAUUUUGGGACAUUUUGGGGACAUUUGGGGACAUUUUGGGGACAUUUGGGGACACCUGGGGACAUUUGGGGACAUCUGGGGACAGCCGGGGCCAUUUGGGGACACUUGGGGCCAUUUUGGGACAUUUGGAGUCAUUUGGAGUCAUUUGGGGACAUUUGGGGACAUUUUGGGGAUAUUUGGGGACAUUUUGGGGACACCUGGGGACAUUUGGGGACAUUUUGAGACAUUUUGGGAUAUUUUGGGGACAUUUGGGGACAUUUUGGGGCCAUUUGAAGCCAUUUGGGGACACUUGGGGACAUUUGGGGCCAUUUUGGGGCCACUUGGGGCCAUUUUGGGGCCAUUUUGGGGCCAUUUGGGGCCAUUUGGGGCCAUUUGGGGCCAUUUGGGGACAUUUGGGGACAUUUUGGGGCCAUUUGGGGCCAUUUGGGGACAUUCAGGGGCCAUUUGGGGCCAUUUGGGGACAUUUUGGGGCCAUUUGGGGCCAUUUUGGGGCCAUUUGGGGACAUUUUGGGACAUUUUGGGGCCAUUUGGGGCCAUUUUGGGGACAUUUGGGGCCAUUUUGGGGCCAUUUUGGGGCCAUUUGGGGACAUUUCGGGCCCAUCGCUGCCUCUCUGCAAACCCUUUAUUGAACACAACCUCAUGCCACGCCCCCUUCCCCCUCGCAGCCAAUCAGAGCCUCCGGAGCCCUGCAGGGGGCGGGGCCUCCAUUCUACCCCUCCUGCUGGGUGGGCGUGGCCCCGGCGGUGGGCGUGGCCUGCAGGGCAGCAGUGGCAUUCCUCCAGCGCUGCAGCCAAUGGGAGAAGGGGGCAUGGCCGGGGGGCGUGGCCAAGGCCCACUGAGCCGGCUGGGCCCACCUGGGGGGAGAGGCUGGGUUUAAAAGGGGGGCGUGGCUUGCGCGGAAGCCCCGCCCCCUUUAGUCCCUCCCCUCACUCACCAUUGGCUGAGGAGCCCCUGGAGGCGGGGCCAGCUCCUGAUUCGCUGCUGGCAGCCGGCGCUGACCAAUCGCAGCCGGGGGAGGAGCUCGGCCGGGCCCUCGGGAGGGGGCGGGGCCUGCUCUGGCUCCGCCCCCCGCUGUGGCCACGCCCUCCUGCGCAGGCGCAGCCGCUCCAGGCGCAGCCGCUGCCGCAAGAUGGCCGCCCGCGA